rnacentral:lncRNA from 1 species
CCUGCAUCCCAUGGAGAGAAAACACUCGGAGAAGCUGGAGAGAGAGCGGAGAUGCACGUUACAACGCAGCCAUUUAUCAGCACAGGAUAAUGCUUCUUCCUCCUCUGACAUGAACGUGGGGUCUGUAAUUGUGCUUUUAAUUUUCAUGUCAAGGAUGCAAUAGUGGAGGGCUUCAUUACCGAGACAGACAGUUAUUUUAUCUUUGCGUGCAGCAGAAAUAAAACAUGCAAAAAUAACUCUCACUCUUAAAGAAACACACAGUAAUUCUUUA